UUAACGUACGUUACAUUUGCACAUAACGUACUUAAACUGGUUUUGAUAAUUUUCUCUCCUCAGAAAAUCCAGUAUGACUUCUCUGAAAGUCUCAAAAGCUUCACAGAGCAGCACCAUCAGUUAAUGAAGAAAUGUGGCUCUGUAGUGGACACCUGUGAGGCAGUGGACAGCUGCUGAAGUCUGAUGCUGGUUGACAAUAAACAGACCUCUCUGGACAUACCCCAUAUUUUGCAGAGAAAUUAUACCAUUGCCCUUCCUGUUACAUGAUGAUCCUGCUGUCCUGGACUGUAUAUGAUGAGCCUACACAUAAUCUCAGAACAGCUGUGGUGAUGCGUUUCAGCGGCCAUCAGCAUCGUAAAUCCUCCCCAUUGUUUUAUAUUUUGAUUUUUUUUUUAAUUAUGUGGAAAAAAAAUAGCUAAUGCAAGGGUGUUUCAAAUCCAGAGUCUUUGGGAGGAAUGAUAAAUUUGACAUUGUUCUCUCUUCUGACUGCUGUUAUCAGUCUGUGUCAGAUUUUUUCCUUUGAUUGAAAGUUGUGAAAAUGCUAUCUUUAGAGUUUAUGUUUUGUUAUUUGAGUAAAUGAGAAUGCAAAAAUAUAUUUGUGAUACUCUGCCAUUCACUGCUCUCGAAGUUAUUCUUCCAAUCAGUUACCACAAUUUAGAACAGGAAAGAAAAUGUUACUAUGAAUUGCAUUGUGUCUAAAAUUGAAUUGAAUUUAUUAAUUUAAAUUGUAUCAUUGUUUUAGGUACAUGAAAUGUUUUUUUAAAGUUCUAAGAUAAUUGAGUCCCAUUUAUUUGAUAAUAAUUUUACCAAGGUGUAAAUUUUUUUGUUGUUGUUGUUAUUUGUUUAUAGCAAUAUUAACACUGAUGUGUCCAUGAAUGGGAUUGUGAUGUGCAGUAUUGACUAUUUAAGGUGAUUAUGGAUAUUGUUGUUGCUUAUCAAUAAACUAUGUUUUAUAUGCA